GACGAACGCUGGCGGCGUGCUUAACACAUGCAAGUCGAACGGAAAGGCCCUGCUUUUGUGGGGUGCUCGAGUGGCGAACGGGUGAGUAACACGUGAGUAACCUGCCCUUGACUUUGGGAUAACUUCAGGAAACUGGGGCUAAUACCGGAUAGGAGCUCCUGCUGCAUGGUGGGGGUUGGAAAGUUUCGGCGGUUGGGGAUGGACGCGCGGCUUAUCAGCUUGUUGGUGGGGUAGUGGCUUACCAAGGCUUUGACGGGUAGCCGGCCUGAGAGGGUGACCGGCCACAUUGGGACUGAGAUACGGACCAGACUGCUACGGGAGGCAGCAGUGGGGAAUAUUGCACAAUGGGCGGAAGCCUGAUGCAGCAACGUCGCGUGCGGGAUGACGGCCUUCGGGUUGUAAACCGCUUUCGCCUGUGACGAAGCGUGAGUGACGGUAAUGGGUAAAGAAGCACCGGCUAACUACGUG
rnacentral:rRNA from 1 species